rnacentral:misc_RNA from 1 species
GAUGAAGAACGCAGCGAAAUGCGAUAAGUAAUGUGAAUUGCAGAAUUCAGUGAAUCAUCGAAUCUUUGAACGCACCUUGCACCCUUUGGCAUUCCGAAGGGUAUGCUCGUUUGAGUGUCAUUGUACUCUCACACUUCCAAUCUUUGGAUUGGGGGCGCUGGACUUGGGUGUUGCUGCUUACUGUGGCUCACCUCAAAUUGAUUCGUGCACCUCUUGGUUGGACAUAGUACGGCGUGAUAAGUGUCUUCGCCGGCACCUCAGUAGAGGGUGGCUGAUCGGGAGCUCUGUGCUUCAAACCGUCCUCGGACAACAACUGACAACUUGACCUCAAAUCGAGUAGGACUACCCGCUGAACUUAAGCAUAUCAAUAAGCGGAGGA